GAGACACACUGCAUGUUAAGUCUAUACCUAUAUUAAGUGUUUUUGUAUGUUAGAACAAAAACUUUUGUAUGUUAGAACAAACUUUGUAUGUUAGAACAACGUGUGGAUAGGUUGCAUUGCAUAUACUGACCAUAUGAGGAUUACAGCUUUUGAUAUUUUGCAGGGAGUAUAAUUAGAAAAAUAUUACCAUAUGUUAUUAGGACCAUGGAAAGACAAUGAGAAUCGUGAAAGAGUCUGUGCCGAAGUUUCAGUAAUGUGAUCAAAUUAACAAAUGGAGACAGAAUAAAAUUUGAAAUGAGCACAAAGGAAACGCUACAUGUCAUCCCAACAGCUGUUUUUAACAGACUUAGGAAACUAGUUGAGGACUUCACCAUCAAUUCAUACAGCAGAUAUCAUCGUACACAGUCUGGGUGUUGAUGAUUUGGGCCCAGAGAGACCAAGUAAGCGAAUUACCUGAAGACACAUUGUUGAGCUCUGUGGCUUCUUGACUAACACAUGAGGCCACCUCCCAGAGCUGUUUGAACUGUUCCUGCUGAUAGGGGAGGGCAUUUCUCCAGCCCUGCUUCUAGACUCCCUCUUACUCUUCAGAUGGCCUCUCACACAGUUGCAUAUUGAGUUAUCCUUUCAAAAGGUAAUUUCACAAAAAUGUACAAAUAUUAUCUUCUGUAAGUUAUUUGCAAUGGAUACGUGGGCCAAAAGCUAAGGUGAGAGACACAGACUUUGAAUGCUAAAUCGUGUUGAGUUUUAAAGAUAUAUUUUUAUAUUGUAUGGAUUCCUGCUGAGCAGAGAUAGUCUCAUGGCGAAAGAUUAAUAUUCCAGACAUGGAGGUUGCUGGACCCAAACGAUCUCAGGAAGAAGCUAUUCUUCACACACAGCUAUCCAG
rnacentral:lncRNA from 1 species